rnacentral:rRNA from 1 species
CCGGUAAACGGCGGCCGUAACUAUAACGGUCCUAAGGUAGCGAAAUUCCUUGUCGGGUAAGUUCCGACCUGCACGAAUGGCGUAAUGAUGGCCAGGCUGUCUCCACCCGAGACUCAGUGAAAUUGAACUCGCUGUGAAGAUGCAGUGUACCCGCGGCAAGACGGAAAGACCCCGUGAACCUUUACUAUAGCUUGACACUGAACAUUGAGCCUUGAUGUGUAGGAUAGGUGGGAGGCUUUGAAGUGUGGACGCCAGUCUGCAUGGAGCCGACCUUGAAAUACCACCCUUUAAUGUUUGAUGUUCUAACGUUGGCCCGUAAUCCGGGUUGCGGACAGUGUCUGGUGGGUAGUUUGACUGGGGCGGUCUCCUCCUAAAGAGUAACGGAGGAGCACGAAGGUUGGCUAAUCCUGGUCGGACAUCAGGAGGUUAGUGCAAUGGCAUAAGCCAGCUUGACUGCGAGCGUGACGGCGCGAGCAGGUGCGAAAGCAGGUCAUAGUGAUCCGGUGGUUCUGAAUGGAAGGGCCAUCGCUCAACGGAUAAAAGGUACUCCGGGGAUAACAGGCUGAUACCGCCCAAGAGUUCAUAUCGACGGCGGUGUUUGGCACCUCGAUGUCGGCUCAUCACAUCCUGGGGCUGAAGUAGGUCCCAAGGGUAUGGCUGUUCGCCAUUUAAAGUGGUACGCGAGCUGGGUUUAGAACGUCGUGAGACAGUUCGGUCCCUAUCUGCCGUGGGCGCUGGAGAACUGAGGGGGGCUGCUCCUAGUACGAGAGGACCGGAGUGGACGCAUCACUGGUGUUCGGGUUGUCAUGCCAAUGGCACUGCCCGGUAGCUAAAUGCGGAAGAGAUAAGUGCUGAAAGCAUCUAAGCACGAAACUUGCCCCGAGAUGAGUUCUCCCUGACUCCUUGAGAGUCCUGAAGGAACGUUGAAGACGACGACGUUGAUAGGCCGGGUGUGUAAGCGCAGCGAUGCGUUGAGCUAACCGGUACUAAUGAACCGUGAGGCUUAACCUU